rnacentral:tRNA from 1 species
GCCCGGAUGGUGGAAUCGGUAGACACAAGGGAUUUAAAAUCCCUCGGCGUUCGCGCUGUGCGGGUUCGAGUCCCGCUCCGGGUACCA